rnacentral:snRNA from 1 species
GUGCUUGCUUUGGCAGCACAUAUACUAAAAUUGAAAUGAUACAGAGAAGAUUAGCAUGGCCCCUGCACAAGGAUGACAUGCAAAAUUUAGACUCUUAGGAAGCAGCA